rnacentral:rRNA from 1 species
CGGGACCACCACUGGAAACUGUGGCUAAUACCGGAUAAGCCUUUGGGUUAAAAAUUUAUUGCCCCCAUGAUGAGCUCGCGUUUGAUUAGCUAGUUGGGGAUGUAAAAGCUCACCCAUGCAGCGAUCAGUAGCUGGGUCUGAGAGGACGAUCCAGCCACACUGGGGACUGAGAAACGGGCCCAGACUCCUACCGGACAGCAGCAGUGGGGAAUUUUCCCCCAUGGGCGAAAGCCUGACGGAGCCAGACCGGUGAGGGAGGACCGCUCUUGGGGUUGUAACCUCUUUUCUCAGGGAAAAAGCUCUGACGGUACCUGAGGAAUCAGCCUCGGCUAACUCCGUGCCAGCAGCCGCGGUAAUACGGAGGAGGCCAGCGUUAUCCGGAAUUAUUGGGCGUAAAGCGUCCGCAGGUGGCGAUUCAAGUCUGCUGUCCAAGCACGGGGCUUAACUCCGUUAAUGCAGUGGAAACUGACUAGCUAGAGUGCCGUAGGGGUAGAGGGAAUUCCCGGUGUAGCGGUGAAAUGCGUAGAGAUCGGGAAGAACAUCGGUGGCGAAAGCGCUCUACUGGACGGCAACUGACACUCAGGGACCCAAGCUAGGGGAGCGAAUGGGAUUAGAAUACCCCAGUAGUCCUAGCUGUUAACGAUGGAUACUAGGUGUAGCUUGUAUCGACCC